AGGUGGGGAUGACGUCAAGUCAUCAUGCCCCUUAUGUCCAGGGAUUCACACAUGCUACAAUGGCCGGUGCAAAGGGCUGCGAUGCCGUAAGGUUAAGCGAAUCCUUUUAAAGCCGGUCUCAGUUCGGAUUGGGGUCUGCAACUCGACCCCAUGAAGUCGGAGUCGCUAGUAAUCGCAGAUCAGCAACGCUGCGGUGAAUACGUUCCCGGGCCUUGUACACACCGCCCGUC
rnacentral:rRNA from 1 species